rnacentral:rRNA from 1 species
UGGGGAAUAUUGGGCAAUGGGGGCAACCCUGACCCAGCGACGCCGCGUGAGGGAAGAAGGCCUUCGGGUCGUAAACUUCUUUUGUACGUGAAGAAGCAGAUGACGGUAGCGUACGAAUAAGUCCCGGCUAACUACGUGCCAGCAGCCGCGGUAAUACGUAGGGGACGAGCGUUGUCCGGAAUUACUGGGCGUAAAGGGCGCGCAGGCUGCGCGUCGAGUCGGCUGUUAAAGAUCCGGGCUUAACCCGGUGAAGCGGUCGAGACCGACGAGCUGGAGUGCUGCAGAGGCAAGUGGAAUUCCCGGUGUAGCGGUGAAAUGCGUAGAUAUCGGGAAGAACACCGGUGGCGAAGGCGACUUGCUGGGCAGCAACUGACGCUGAGGCGCGAAAGCCAGGGGAGCAAACG